rnacentral:lncRNA from 1 species
AUAAAUCCCUGUGUUUAAUCUGCAAUCCCCCAAAAUACAUUGAUAAUGUGUUUCCUAUACUUACCAGAUAAAUAUGGUAUGGAUGUGAUUUCUGUAAGGCAGGGUCUUAAUCUAGACUGCUCUCGCACUUGCCUCAGUUGGGGUUGCAGGCUUAAGGCAAAUGCUUUAAUGCAUUUUGUCCUACACAGAUGCAUUUCCUGGUUGGAAAGCCUUAUUUCCAGGUCAGGUCCUGAGCCUUCCACUCUUAAAGCUUGACAUUGGAAAAUCCCAUCAUAUAUCUGCACCAGGCUGGUCACCUAGACCUUUAAAAACUCUUAGCAAUUUUUCCUGCUUUGAAGGCUUUAUUCUUACCAUCCCUGGUGGAGGCCACACCACUGAAGCCCAAAUAAGAGUCCCUGCUCAUAGCCUAACCCUCCUUAAGGCCAAAUGUCUGCCUCAUCAGAGGAUGGUCUUCCUAACUUUGUAUCCCCAAGCUAUUAAAAUGUACUUUAUGAAUACAAUCUUCCAAAUCGUUUUUGUGAUGAA